AAGAUUCCGUAUUACCACAAGAUUUUUGUAACAGACGAAGUAAAUUAGAGCCUUCCCUCCCCAGCGAUUAAUUGUUAGACGUUAAUGAUGGCACUCAAUCGUAGAAAUCCAAAGCAUCGUCAUCCUUACAACUUCCCUACCUUUUUCACUAUUUUAGGUACACUAUAUCUGGAAUUGAAAAGGAGGGCUCUGGUCAACUAAUCGUCACGCUAUCUCCAAUGAAUCAUGUGAAUCCUCAACUGCUUCUGUCUGAGUUAAAGGCCGGUCGGUAUAAGAAAACUGUUGCUAACCUUCUCCUCAGUUUUUGGGACGCAGAAAGUUGGAGAGAGCUUAUGGUUCUGGUUGAUUAGAAGGGGGAAACUCUGGCGUUUUUGAAGGCGUGUUGUCAAUGACAAAAGUGUAAAGAAAGACUGAUAAUAUUAGUUGCUCCAAAAGUGUAUUCUAAGUAUCAUACUUAAUCAUGUCUUUUCUAUUUUUGUAUAAAGGGGGGUUGUGUUGCUUUCGUUUUUGGAUGCGUUGUCAAAUAUUAGCACAGACAUUUAUUCCUUGGUUACUGAAGCUAAUGACAAAUGACCUCUAUCAGUUAGCCGCUGUUGCGUUUUGUCUACUCCUAGCCUGGAUUAGUGAUAAGCUAUGGUUAAGUCUAGAACUAUGUUCUUUUGCCGCAGGGGUCAUGAUAUCAACUAGGGAUCUCGAUAAACAUACAUUGGGCAAGUAAGUUGUGAUCAUGUAUUACCAAAAAGACUGCUUUCAUCUACUUGUCUCUUUUUUCAUCUCCCAGAACUGUUUUCUGUGUCUUCGCUGAUUUAAUUUGAUCAUAGUCGAGGUUCUCAUUGCAAGGUGAGUUAUGUCUAGGCUAGAAAGUAAUCUGUUGACAAGUAUGUAAUGUUAAACCCUUAAAGAGUCCAUAGACUGACCCAUGUGCUUUAUAUUUUGAUUCAGAUCGAACCAUCCUAAUAUGUUGUAUUAAACAUUAUCGCAGACUUUUCCCAAAGAAUUUAUGUUUAUGUGUCAUGGGGCUGGUUGAUUCUUUAUUUGAAAAAGUUCCAAGAAAGUUUUCAAAAGGACGAUGCUCGCCUUAUGAGAGUGAUGUUGUGUUUGUGGUUGUCCUUAUGCUAAUUUUCUUCUUAAGUUUUGUAGACCGAGUGCUUGUUGAAGUUAUGUAUACAAAUGUACUUUAAUGAGUAUGAUCAACCAAAAAACAAAGUCGGAGAUUAGAAACUCAAGGCAUAGAAGAGACAAAGACGAGGAUGGUCGAUGAUCUAAACCGUCGAGGUCGCACCACCGUUCACGAUCUAGAGAUAGAGAGGGAUAUGCAUAAAAGUAUACGGGAGAAAAGGAGACAAGAGAGUUGAUAGAGAUCGCAAGAAGGGUAGACAUAUAGAAAAAUAAACUACUUGGUUUUUUUUUUUUUGCACUGCAGAAUUAGAGAUUUCACUUUAUACACAAAUGCUGCUAUACCCUCUUCACAUUGUCUCUAUUAAUCAAUUGUUCAGCUACAUGGGGUUGAGUGGAUCAUCAAGGAUUAUCAGAUGUUUGAUGAAUUUCUUUGGAAGGAAAUGACCUGACUCCUGAUUUGUUUUGUAUUUUAUAUGGUUUUCGGGUUUAUAAGGAUGAACUGAGGAAAAAGCUCAACCCUCUAUUCAAUGAGCUUAAAACAUCAUGAGCCUAUUUUUUGCACUGUUGUUAAUAUGUCAUUCAACUUUCUGUCCCAUCAGCCAUGUUCUUCAAUGAAAUUGUAUCUGGUUCAGUUCUGACAAUGCAAAAUUGUUUUCAGACUGAUUCAUACUGGGUUUGAGUCAAACAUAAUAUACCAUUGCUCUGUAAAGCAAAAUCAGUU